rnacentral:rRNA from 1 species
UACGUAGGGACCGAGCGUUGUCCGGAUUCAUUGGGCGUAAAGAGCUCGUAGGCGGUCCGUCGCGUCGAAUGUGAAAACCCGGGGCUCAACCCCGGGCUUGCAUUCGAUACGGGCGGACUAGAGUUCGGUAGGGGAGACUGGAAUUCCUGGUGUAGCGGUGAAAUGCGCAGAUAUCAGGAGGAACACCGGUGGCGAAGGCGGGUCUCUGGGCCGAUACUGACGCUGAGGAGCGAAAGCGUGGGGAGCGAACAGG